rnacentral:lncRNA from 1 species
UGGUACCAAAGCCUUCGUUUCCUCGGUAGGAUUGUUCUUGAUUUUGGUAGGAUAGAGUUUAAAUACCUACUGUCCACUGAGAGCCAAAAAGAAAACCUACAGCCCAAAUUCAUAUGUGCUACUGAUUUUGUAGUUUGCUUUAUCGAGUUUUAAUCCUUUAAUAUUUGUCUAGUUGCUGAAUUUUUCUUUUCCACAUUGUUCUAGUUAUUAUCUUUGUUCUAAUCAUCAAAUUGCUUGCUGCAUGUACCCAUCCAUCCCACCCUUGAUCUGAUCAUCAUUGCUUGCUGCGUAUAUAUAAACAAACAAAAAAUACCCACCCAUCCCACCCUUGUUUUCUAACCGCCACAUAUUCCCCACCGCAGUUUCUUGUUUUUGUGCUGCACCAUCCAUCUUAGUGAUCCCCUUUAGUUGAAAGUUGUGCUGUGUUUGACACAGAGGUUAAAAGAAAAGAUGUCUAUGGGUCAAAAGAAGGACUGAAAACGAGUUUUUGUUCCAAAAAAAAAGAGAAAAAAAAAGAAAAGCAAGAAAGAAAAAAAAAGAAAAACAAAAAGAGAACUGUGUGCAGCACACCAAAAAGGCGUGAGCAUAUCAGAGUACAAACAGGUGCGUCAAAAAUGGUUUCUUAGACUAUGGUGUAUUAGGCACAAACUAUGCACCUAUCUGCAUCGAAACUAACAUUGUCUCCAAACAAAGCGAAGCGAGAUUCCAUGUGACACACGUCAUCUAGGAGUUCCAUUGGGUGCGUCCAAAUUGAUUUCUUAACAUAUGGUACGUUCCAUUCAAACUGUGCAACUAUCUUGCAUCAAGAUUAGCACUAUAUCCGAACAGACCAAAUCGAGCCUCCACUUGAGCCUCUUCAACUAUGAGUACCAUCGAGUGUGUCUAAUAUAGUUUCUUAGCUUAUGGUGCAUUAGGCGUAAACCAUGCACAUAUCUUCUACCAAAACUAACAGUCUCUAAACGAACCGAAGCAAGAUUCCAAAUGACACACAUCAUCAAGGAGUUAUAUCAGGUGCGUCCUAAUUGAUUUCUGAGCAUAUCGUAUGUUCCAUGCAAACCGUGCAUCUAUCUUGCAUCAAGAUUAGCACUAUCUCCAAACAGACCAAACCGAGCUUUCACUUUAGCCCCUUGACCUAGGAGUACCAUCGGGUGCGUCCAAAACGGUUUCUUAUCCUAUGGUGCAUUAGGUGCAAACCGUGCACCUAUCUUGCACUGAAACUAACACUGUCUCUAAACGGACCGAAGUGAGAUUCCAUACGACACAUGUCAUCUAGGAGUUCCAUCUGGUGCGUCCAAAUUAAUUUCUGAGCAUAUGGUAUGUUCCAUGCAAAUCGUGCACCUAUCUUGCAUCAAGAUUAGCACUAUCUCUAAACAGACCAAACCGAGCCUCCACUUGAGCCUCUUCACCUAGGAGUACCAAUAGGUGCUUCCAAAAUGGUUUCUUAGACUUUGGUGCAUUAGGCGCAAACCGUGCACAUAUCUUGCACCGAAACUAAUACUAUCUCUAAGCACACCAAAGCGAGAUUCCAUAUGACACACGUCAUCAAAGAGUUCUAUCGGGUGUGUCCAAAUUAAUUUCUAAGCAUAUGGUUCGUUCCAUGCAGACCAUGCAUCUAUCUUGCAUCAAGAUUAGCACUAUCUCCAAAUAGAUCGAACCGACCAUCCACUUGAGCCCCUUCACCUCGAAGUACCAACAAGUGCGUCCAAAAUGGUUUCUUAGACUAUGGUGCAUUAGGUGCAAACUGUGCACCUAUCUUGCACCAAAACUAACAAUAUCUCCAAGUGGACUGAAGCAAGAUUCCUUGUGACACACGUCAUCAAGGAGGUCCAUCGGGUGCAUCCAAAUUGAUUUCCAAGCAUAUGGUAUGUUCCAUGCAAAGCAUGCACCUACCUUGCAUAAGUAUUAGCACUAUCUCCAAACUGACCGAACCAAGCUUCCACUUGGGCCUCUUCAUCCAAGAGUACCAAAUAGUGCGUCCAAAAUGGUUUCUUAGACUAUGGUGCAUUAGGCGCAAACUGUGCACCUAUCUUGCACUAAAACUUGCAAUGUCUACAAACGGACAAAAGCAAGAUUCCAUAUGACACACGUCAUCUAGGAGUUCCAUUGGGUGCGUCCAAAUUGAUUUUUAAGCAUAUGGUAUGUUCCUUGCAAAUCAUGCACCUAUCUUGCAUCAAGAUUAGCACUAUCUCCAAACAGAUCAAAUCGAGCUUCCACUUGAGCCUCUUCACCGAAGUACCAACAGUUGCUUACAAAAUGGUUUCUUAGACUAUGGUGCAGUAGGCAAAAACCAUGCACAUAUCUUGCACCGAAACUAACACUGUUUCUAAACAGACCAAAGCGAGAUUCCAUAUGACACACGUCAUCAAGGAGUGUCAUCGGGUGCAUCCACAUUGAUUUCCAAGCAUAUUGUAUGUUCCAUGCAAACCGUGCACCUAUCUUGCAUCAAGAUUAGCACUAUCUCCAAACAGACCGAACCGAGCUUCCACUUGAGCCUCUUCAUCUAGGAGUACAAACAGUUGCUUCAAAAAUGGUUUCUUAGACUAUGGUGCAUUAGGCACAAACUAUGCACCUAUCUUGCACCGAAACUAACAUUGUCACCAAACAGACCGAAGCGAGAUUCCAUAUGACACACGUCAUCUAGGAGUUCCAUUGGGUGCGUCCAAAUUGAUUUCUUACCAUAUGGUAUGUUCUAUGCAUACUGUGCAACUAUCUUGCAUCAAGAUUAGCACUGUAUCCAAACAGACCAAAUCGAGCCUCCACGUGAGCCUCUUCAACUAUGAGUACCAUCGGGUGCGUCUAAAAUGGUUUCUUAGCCUAUGGUGCAAUAGGCGUAAACCGUGCACAUAUCUUCUACCAAAACUAACACUGUCUCUAAACGAACCGAAGCAAGAUUCCAUAUGACACACAUCAUCAAGGAGUUAUAUCAGGUGCGUCCUAAUUGAUUUCUGAGCAUAUCAUAUGUUCCAUGCAAACUGUGCAUCUAUCUUGCAUCAAGAUUUGCACUAUCUGCAAUCAGACUAAACCGAGCUUUCACUUGAGCCCCUUGACCUAGGAGUACCAUUGGGUGCGUCCAAAAUGGUUUCUUAUCCUAUGGUGCAUUAGGUGCAAACCGGUUACCUAUCUUGCACCGAAACUAACAUUGUCUCUAAAUGGACCGAAAUGAGAUUCCAUAUGACAUGUCAUCUAGAAGUUCCAUCUGGUGCGUCCAAAUUGAUUUCUGAGCAUAUGGUAUGUUCCUUGCAAAUCGUGCACCUAUAUUGCAUCAAGAUUAGCACUAUCUCUAAACAGACCGAACCGAGCCUCCACUUGAGCCUCUUCACCUAGGAGUACCAACUGGUGCUUCCAAAAUGGUUUCUUAGACUUUGGUGCAUUAGGCGCAAACCGUGCACAUAUCUUGCAACAAAACUAACACUAUCUCCAAGCACACCAAAGCGAGAUUCCAUAUGACACACGUCAUCAAGAAGUUCUAUCGGGUGUGUCCAAAUUAAAUUCUAAGCAUAUGGUACGUUCCAUGUAGACCGUGCAUCUAUCUUGCAUCAAGAUUAGCACUAUCUACAAAUAGACCAAACCAAGCUUUCAUUUGAGCCGUUUACCUAGGAGUACCAUGGGUGCGUACGAAAUUGUUUCUUAGCCUAUGCUGCAUUAUGUGCAAACCUUGCACCUAUCUUGCACCGAAACUAACACUAUUUCCAGACACACCGUAGCAAUAAUCCGUAUGACACACUUCAUCUAGGAGUUCCAUCAUGUGCGUCCAGAUUGUUUUCCAAGCAUUUGGUAUGUUUCAUGCACCUACCUUGCAUCAAGAUUAGCACUAUCUCCAAACAGACCGAACCAAGCAUCCACUUGAGCCCCUUCACCUAGGAGUACCAACAAGUGCGUCCAAAAUGGUUUCUUAGACUAUGGUGCAUUAGGUGCAAACUGUGCACCUAACUUGCACCAAAACUAACAUUGUCUCUAAACAGACCGAAGCGAGAUUCCAUAUGACACACGUCAUCAAGGAGUUCCAUCGGGUGCAUCGAAAUUGAUUUCCAAGCAUAUGGUAUGUUCCAUGCAAAUCAUGCACCUACCUUGCAUAAGGAUUAGCACUAUCUCCAAACUGACCGGACCAAGCUUCCACUUGAGCCUCUUCAUCCAGGAGUACCAAAUAGUGCGUCCAAAAUGGUUUCUUAGACUAUGGUGCAUUAGGCGUAAACUGUGCACCUAUGUUGCACUAAAACUUACAAUGUCUACAAACGAACCGAAGUAAGAUUCCAUAUGACACACAUCAUUAAGGAGUUCUAUCAGGUGUGUCCAAAUUAAUUUCUAAGCAUAUGGUAUGUUCCAUGCAGACCGUGCACCUAUCUUGCAUCAAGAUUAGCACUAUCUCCAAACAGAUCAAACCGAGCUUCCACUUGAGCCUCUUCACCGAACUACCAAUAGGUGCUUCUAAAAUGGUUUCCUAGACUAUGGUGCAUUAGGCGCAAACCAUGCACAUAUCUUGCACCAAACUAACACUAUUUCUAAAUAGACCAAAGCGAGAUUCCAUAUGACACACGUCAUCAAGGAGUUCCAUCGGGUCCAUCCAAAUUGAUUUCCAAGCAUAUGGUAUGUUCCAUGCAAACCGUGCACCUAUCUUGCAUCAAGAUUAGCACUAUCUCCAAACAGACUGAACCGAGCUUCCACUUGAGCCACUUCAUCUAGGAGUACAAACAGGUGCGUCAAAAAUGGUUUCUUAGACUAUGGGGCAUUAGGCACAAACUAUGCACCUAUCUUGCACCGAAACUAACAUUGUCACCAAACAGACCGAAGCGAGAUUCCAUAUGACACACGUCAUCUAGGAGUUCAAUUGGGUGCGUCCAAAUUGAUUUCUUAACAUAUGGUACGUUCUAUGCAAACUGUGCAACUAUCUUGCAUCAAGAUUAGCACUAUAUCCGAACAGACCAAAUCGAGCCUCCACAUGAGCCUCUUCAACUAUGAGUACCAUCGGGUGCGUCUAAAAUGGUUUCUUAGCCUAUGGUGCAUUAGGCAUAAACCGUGCACAUAUCUUCUACCAAAACUAACACUGUCUCUAAACGAACCGAAGCAAGAUUCCAUAUGACACACAUCAUCAAGGAGUUAUAUCAGGUGCGUCCUAAUUGAUUUCUGAGCAUAUCAUAUGUUCCAUGCAAACCGUGCAUCUAUCUUGCAUCAAGAUUUGCACUAUCUCCAAUCAGACUAAACCGAGCUUUCACUUGGGCCCCUUGACCUAGGAGUACCAUCGGGUGCGUCCAAAAUGGUUUCUUAUCCUAUGGUGCAUUAGGUGCAAACCGGUUACCUAUCUUGCACCGAAACUAACAUUGUCUCUAAACAGACCAAAAUGAGAUUCUAUAUGACAUGUCAUCUAGAAGUUCCAUCUGGAGCGUCCAAAUUGAUUUCUGAGCAUAUGGUAUGUUCCAUGCAAAUCGUGCACCUAUCUUGCAUCAAGAUUAGCACUAUCUCCAAACAGACCGAACCGAGCCUCCACUUGAGCCUCUUCACCUAGGAGUACCAACAGGUGCUUCCAAAAUGGUUUCUUAGACUUCGGUGCAUUAGGCGCAAACCGUGCACAUAUGUUGCACCAAAACUAACACUGUCUCCAAGCACACCAAACCGAGAUUCCAUAUGACACACGUCAUCAAGGAGUUCUACCGGGUGUGUCCAAAUUAAUUUCUAAGCAUAUGGUACGUUCCAUGGAGACCGUGCAUCUAUCUUGCAUCAAGAUUAGCACUAUCUACAAAUAGACCAAACCGAGCUUUCACUUGAGCCUUUUACCUGGGAGUACCAUCGGGUGCGUCCGAAAUGGUUUCUUAGCAUAUGCUGCAUUAUGUGCAAACCUUGCACCUAUCUUGCACCGAAACUAACACUGUUUCCAAACAGACUGAAACAAGUUCCGUAUGACACACUUCAUCUAGGAGUUCCAUCAUGUGCGUCCAGAUUGUUUUCCAAGCAUUUGGUAUGUUUCAUGCACCUACCUUGCAUCAAGAUUAGCACUACCUCCAAACCGACCAAACCAAGCAUCCACUUGAGCCCCUUCACCUAGGAGUACCAACAAGUGAGUCCAAAAUGGUUUUUUAGACUAUGGUGCAUUAGGUGCAAACUGUGCACCUAUCUUGCACCAAAACUAACAUUGUCUCUAAACAGACCGAAGCGAGAUUCCAUAUGACACACGUCAUCAAGGAGUUCCAUCGGGUGCAUCAAAAUUAAUUUCCAAGCAUAUGGUAUGUUCCAUGCAAAUCAUGCACCUACCUUGCAUAAGGAUUAGCACUAUCUCCAAACUGACCGAACCAAGCUUCCACUUGAGCCUGUUCAUCCAGGAGUACCAAAUAGUGCGUCCAAAAUGGUUUCUUGGACUUUGGUGCAUUAGGCGCAAACUGUGCACCUAUCUUGCACUAAAACUUACAAUGUCUACAAACGAACCGAAGCAAGAUUCCAUAUGACACACGUCAUCAAGGAGUUCUAUCGGGUGUGUCCAAAUUAAUUUCUAAGCAUAUGGUAUGUUCUAUGCAGACUGUGCACCUAUCUUGCAUCAAGAUUAGCACUAUCUCCCAAC